rnacentral:rRNA from 1 species
GAUGAACGCUAGCGGAAGGCUUAAUACAUGCAAGUCGAGCGGUAGGUGGCUUCGGCCAUUGAGAGCGGCGCACGGGUGAGUAACGCGUACAUGACCUGCCUGUCAGAAGGGGAUAGCCCUGGGAAACUGGGAUUAAUACCCUAUGGUAUUGAUAUUAUGAAUGAUAUCAAUUAAAGUUGAGGCGCUGACAGAUGGAUGUGCGUCUGAUUAGCUAGUUGGUAGGGUAACGGCCUACCAAGGCGACGAUCAGUAGGGGGCGUGAGAGCGUGGUCCCCCACACGGGUACUGAGACACGGACCCGACUCCUACGGGAGGCAGCAGUAAGGAAUAUUGGUCAAUGCCCGCAAGGGUGAACCAGCCAUUCCGCGUGGAGGAUGAAGGCCCUAUGGGUUGUAAACUUCUUUUAGAUGGGAAGAAAAUGCUAGAUGUAUCUGGUACUGACGGUACCAUCAGAAUAAGCACCGGCUAAACUCCGUAGCCAGCAGCCGCGGUAAU